CUACUUACCUGGCAGGGGAGACGCGACGACCGCGAAGGUGGUUCUCCCAGGGCGAGGCUUGUGCGCUGCGCCCCGGGCGCGCUGACCCCUGCGGCUUCCCCACCUGCGGGAAACGCGGCUGCGUGAUGUGUGGCGGUGGGGACGGCGUGCGCGCCCUCCCCU